rnacentral:tRNA from 1 species
GCGGGAGUGGUGGAAUUGGCAGACACGCAGGAUUUAGGUUCCUGUGCCUCACGGCGUGUGGGUUCAAGUCCCACCUUCCGCACGA